rnacentral:rRNA from 1 species
GACGAACGCUGGCGGCGUGCUUAACACAUGCAAGUCGAACGGAAAGGCCCUGCUUGCAGGGUACUCGAGUGGCGAACGGGUGAGUAACACGUGGGUGAUCUGCCCUUCACUUCGGGAUAAGCCUGGGAAACUGGGUCUAAUACCGGAUAGGAGCCAUUUUUAGUGUGAUGGUUGGAAAGUUUUUUCGGUGUAGGAUGAGCUCGCGGCCUAGCAGCUUGUUGGUGGGGUAAUGGCCUACCAAGGCGGCGACGGGUAGCCGGCCUGAGAGGGUGGACGGCCACAUUGGGACUGAGAUACGGCCCAGACUCCGACGGGAGGCAGCAGUGGGGAAUGUUGCAAAAGGGGCGCAAGCCUGAUGCAGCGGCGCCGCGUGGGGGAGGACGGCCUUCGGGUUGUGAACUCCUUUCGCUAGGGACGAAGCAUUUUGUGACGGUACCUAGAUAAGAAGCACCGGCUAACUACGUG